GGCGUGCCUACCAUGCAAGUCGAGCGAUGAAGCUUCUUUCGGGAAGUGGAUUAGCGGCGGACGGGUGAGUAACACGUGGGUAACCUGCCUCAAAGAGGGGGAUAGCCCUCCGAAAGGAGGAGUAAUACCGCAUAAUAUAUUUUAAUCGCAUGAUUAAAAUAUCAAAGAUUUAUCACUUUGAGAUGGACCCGCGUCGCAUUAGCUAGUUGGUAAGGUAACGGCUUACCAAGGCGACGAUGCGUAGCCGACCUGAGAGGGUGAUCGGCCACAUUGGGACUGAGACACGGCCCAGACUCCUACGGGAGGCAGCAGUGGGGAAUAUUGCGCAAUGGGGGAAACCCUGACGCAGCAACGCCGCGUGGGUGAUGAAGGUUUUCGGAUUGUAAAGCCCUGUUCUAUGGGACGAUAAUGACGGUACCAUAGGAGAAAGCCACGGCUAACUACGUGCCAGCAGCCGCGGUAAUACGUAGGUGGCAAGCGUUGUCCGGAAUUACUGGGCGUAAAGAGUAUGUAGGCG
rnacentral:rRNA from 1 species